rnacentral:lncRNA from 1 species
AAAACCCCAAAAGAUACCAAAAGCCCAAGAAAGUGCGAGAACAAAAAAUAAAAAAUUGAUGACUCGAGAGAAAGAAAGAAAAAAAAAGAGAAAAAUUUAUAACUCGAAGAUUCAGAAAGAAGCACGAAAAAGGGCAUUCGGUGAAGAAAAGAAAAUAAGAAAAGAAAACCGAGCAAAUAAGAGAAACAAACAUAGUAUGUAACAUCGACUCUGAACCAAAA